rnacentral:rRNA from 1 species
CCUACGGGAGGCAGCAGUGAGGAAUAUUGGUCAAUGGACGAGAGUCUGAACCAGCCAAGUAGCGUGAAGGAUGACUGACCUCUGGGUGGAAAACUUCAUUUAUAUGGGAGUAAAAUGUUCCACGUGUGGGAUUUUGUAUGUACCCAAUGAAUAAGGCUCGGCUAACUCCGUGCCAGCAGCCGCGGUAAUACGGAGGAUCCGAGCGUUAUCCGGAUUUAUUGGGUUUAAAGGGAGCGUAGGUGGAUUGUUAAGUCAGUUGUGAAAGUUUGCGGCUCAACCGUAAAAUUGCAGUUGAAACUGGCAGUCUUGAGUACAGUAGAGGUGGGCGGAAUUCGUGGUGUAGCGGUGAAAUGCUUAGAUAUCACGAAGAACUCCGAUGGCGAAGGCAGUUCACUGGACUGCAACUGACACUGAGGCUCGAAAGUGUGGGUAUCAAACAGGAUUAGAUACCCGUGUAGUC